rnacentral:lncRNA from 1 species
GUAGACACUGCCACGAUAAUUGGUUGCUUUAAGAAUUCCUAAUAAGAAACAACAAUGCGGUAUCAUGCAUUGAAGGAGGGGUCUCUGUGUACACGCCAACUUAAUAUCUAUGGCAUGGCAAUCCUGAAUAUAUAGCAUGAUGAUACCAUGGAUUUGGGACUAGUCUUAGAGAAGGUUUUUUUUUUAAAAACGAACGAGGACUGCCGAUUAUAUUAAAAAGAAGAUGAGAGCCCAGAUUAAGUAGUACAAUAAAUAAAAACACAACAAAAAUAACAAGAACCCAACCCUAAGCAACUCCAACAAACACGCGUGGCACCACUCAAAACACUACAAACUCCAAGCCACUAUUCCAAUGCUACACACUAAUCAGCCAUCGCAAAUUUCACAACUCAACAUCACCUCGACCGUUGCUUGUCUACUAUAUGAGGCGCUAGGUACACAUAUGGGUGGCAUUAGCUUGUAUCACGGACCUCGCCGCAUUUUCUACUGCCUCUUGUAGAUCAUCA